rnacentral:rRNA from 1 species
GUGACGGUACCGUGGAGAAGAAGCACCGGCUAACUACGUGCCAGCAGCCGCGGUAAUACGUAGGGUCCGAGCGUUGUCCGGAAUUAUUGGGCGUAAAGGGCUCGUAGGCGGUUUGUCGCGUCGGGAGUGAAAACACCGGGCUUAACUCGGUGCUUGCUUUCGAUACGGGCAGACUAGAGGCAUUCAGGGGAGAACGGAAUUCCUGGUGUAGCGGUGAAAUGCGCAGAUAUCAGGAGGAACACCGAUGGCGAAGGCAGGUCACUGGGCCGCAACUGACGCUGAGGAGCGAAAGCAUGGGGAGCGAACAGGAUUAGAUACCCUGGUAGUCCA